rnacentral:rRNA from 1 species
GAAUGGAUUAAGAGCUUGCUCUUAUGAAGUUAGCGGCGGACGGGUGUAGUAACACGGUGGGUAACCUGCCCAUAAGACUGGGAUAACUCCGGGAAACCGGGGCUAAUACCGGAUAACAUUUUGAACCGCAUGGUUCGAAAUUGAAAGGCGGCUUCGGCUGUCACUUAUGGAUGGACCCGCGUCGCAUUAGCUAGUUGGUGAGGUAACGGCUCACCAAGGCAACGAUGCGUAGCCGACCUGAGAGGGUGAUCGGCCACACUGGGACUGAGACACGGCCCAGACUCCUACGGGAGGCAGCAGUAGGGAAUCUUCCGCAAUGGACGAAAGUCUGACGGAGCAACGCCGCGUGAGUGAUGAAGGCUUUCGGGUCGUAAAACUCUGUUGUUAGGGAAGAACAAGUGCUAGUUGAAUAAGCUGGCACCUUGACGGUACCUAACCAGAAAGCCACGGCUAACUACGUGCCAGCAGCCGCGGUAAUACGUAGGUGGCAAGCGUUAUCCGGAAUUAUUGGGCGUAAAGCGCGCGCAGGUGGUUUCUUAAGUCUGAUGUGAAAGCCCACGGCUCAACCGUGGAGGGUCAUUGGAAACUGGGAGACUUGAGUGCAGAAGAGGAAAGUGGAAUUCCAUGUGUAGCGGUGAAAUGCGUAGAGAUAUGGAGGAACACCAGUGGCGAAAGGCGAC